CCGGGGAUGAAGGCGUUCGGCGGCGCUGGGGGCCGGUGCAUCAUGCUCACAGUGCAAUAGGCUGUCUGCCGCCUCUCCAACAAACGCCAAGAUGACAUGAGCCAACAGGCCUGCUUGCUGCCAUCCUGGGAAGCAAGACGGCACAUGAAAGCCAAAUAUUUGGAAGUUUUUUCAGCUCCUGGAGGAAAAUAGUGUUUUGGUCAUUUAAACAGCAGUGUGGAAUGCAUUUUCCACAGGUACUUGGAAGGAGAGCGAGGGGUAUGGACAGGUGAAAGCCACCACACAAACUGGGGACAGUCACUAAGAGCAAAGCUCCAUGAUAUCAGGAAACACGCCUCCAGAGGUACCUCCUCCUUCCUGACGCCCAGAACAGGUGACCAUGUGACUAUAUGUGGCCAAAGGAACUUGGCAGAUGUGACUAGGGUAAGAACCUUGAGGAUGGUCCAUUUUACCUCAGCGGGCAUAUGAACAAAGCUGAGAUGUCUCUCAGCUGUGGUCAGAGGAAGCAUGACCACUGAGGGAGAGCUGCAGAUAAAGGGACCUGUCCUGAGCCAGAGAGGAGACAGAAAAGGCAGAAACCUUUGCUUCCCCCUGGCUUCCAGCAAGGAUCACAGCCCUGCUCAGUCCUUGACC